rnacentral:rRNA from 1 species
AAUCAACGCUGGCGGCGUGCCUAACACAUGCAAGUCGAGCGAGAAAAGGGGAGCAAUCCCCUGAGUACAGCGGCGCACGGGUGAGUAACACGUGGGUAAUCUGCCCUGGAGUGGGGAAUAACACCGGGAAACCGGUGCUAAUACCGCAUACGAUCACAGAGUCUGCGGAUUUUGUGAUGAAAGGAGCAAUUCGCUCUAGGAGGAGCCCGCGGCUGAUUAGCUAGUUGGUGAGGUAAUGGCUCACCAAGGCAACGAUCAGUAUCCGGUCUGAGAGGACGGUCGGACACACUGGAACUGAGACACGGUCCAGACUCCUACGGGAGGCAGCAGUGGGGAAUUUUUGGCAAUGGGGGCAACCCUGACCAAGCAACGCCGCGUGGGUGAUGAAGUCUCUUGGGACGUAAAACCCUUUCGACGGGGACGAAGCCGCAAGGUUGACGGUACCCGUAGAAGAAGCCCCGGCUAACUCCGUGCCAGCAGCCGCGGUAAUACGGGGGGGGCAAGCGUUGUUCGGAAUUACUGGGCGUAAAGGGUGCGUAGGCGGUUCGCUAAGUUGGAUGUGAAAACUCUGGGCUCAACCCAGAGCCUGCAUCCAAAACUGGCGGGCUAGAGUUCUGGAGGGGGUAGCGGAAAUUCCUGGUGUAGCGGUGAAAUGCGUAGAUAUCC